GUCCAGUUACUACAAGAUCAUUUUGUUAGAAAUCACCGUCAUGAAGAGGGACAGGUUAGCUGGAUCAGCACAUACAGUUCAGAGAGAGCUAGGGAACAAGAAAGCCAACUCAGCCAAUCAGAGAGCUCAUCUCAGCAGUUUAGCUUGGCCUCACUUAAAGGAGCAGAACACUGAUUUUAUUUUCUUCACACCAUGCUUGCCACAAGUUUAUUUCCCCCAGUACACUUCUAUCUUGGGGGCCGACUCUCCCCCUUGUGACCUGUCUGCCCAUUGGGGAAGUGGUAGCUGGACACCCUUCAGAUCUCCAAACAGAUCUCCACUGACCUUGGACCCUGAAAUUCACUGGGGGUAUGCCCCUAAAGACACUAUGUCUGCAGCCUUUCCCUCCCUCUCUUAUUCCCCUCUCCCUCUCUCCAGACCAUAUGCAGGGACAGCUCUACACCCAUUCUCAGCACUGAAGAAACUACAGAAAAUUUGGACCUUCGCCCUUUUCCCUUAGAUACUUGGAGAGGGGUUGGGGAUAGGAUGUCAGGGGGCACUGAACCAGGUGGGGCCUGAGAUUAUGGCCCUCCAGGAGGCUGUUUGGUUCCCCUAUGGAUGGCUGAGCCUGCCAGAUGGCAGGACUCACCAGAAGCAGUGGGGAGACAGCUAGCAAAAAGAAUACAUGACACCACACAUAGGAGAGAGAAGCUGCUGGCCCCUGGUACACCCAUCUUUUAACUCCUCUCCCUGUCUCACUACCCUAGUCUAGUCCCUUAUAGGACACCUUAUAAUCUUAAUCCUACUCUUAACGUUUGACCCCUGCAUUUUCAACCACCUCGUUCAGUUCGUGAAAGACCGGCUGGACGCCAUCCAGGUGUUGGCCCUCCAGCAACAGUACUGACCCCUAGCCACUAUUGAGCCCCGGGCUGGGAGCUACGAGCUGCCUCAGUGGGCAGGCCUUCCCUCUGCCCCCUAAGAGAAAAAGAAGUUGGAAAUGAGGGAGGUCUGAGCUGGAAAUUGCCCAGCCUUGGAAGUUCAGCAAGGAGCUGCCCAGCUUUGGAAGUUCAGCUAGGAGCUGCCUGGCCUUGGAAGUUCAGAACUACAAAUAUGCCAAGAUCCCAGCUGCAGAGGGUAACAGAUAAAAACUUCGAGGCCAGGAAAACCCCAGAAACAUAAAAAUGCCAAGGUUCCAAGAAUAGUAUGUAACAAAUAAGGGCUGAAGGGAGCCAUACAUGCUGGCAACAAUGGUGUGUAACAGAUGAAAACUG
rnacentral:lncRNA from 1 species